UUGGACGUUUAACCCUGUUCUCCUAGUUGGGAGUAAAGGAGGGUUUGGAGAUUCAACCAUUGAUCUCUUAAUUGAGCCUUUGGAUAAUGACCUUUGGAUAAUGAGUAAGUGAAGUUUAGGAAUUCAGCCUUUGAUCAGUAAGUGAGCCUACAAAGAUUAGAUCUGACCUCUAAUCUCCUAAUCGAGAGUAAGUAAAGGCAUGGAGAUUCAACUAUUGCUCUCUUAGUCGAGAGUAAGUGAGAGUAUGAAAAACCUAACCCGAUCUCUUAAUCGACCCAUUCAAUCACCGAUCUAAGAGUACGGGUUUGAAGAUUCAACUUCUAAUUUCCGGGUGAGAAGUAAAUUUCUUAAUUGUAUUUAAAGAUUAAACUACUUUAGUGUAUUUAUGUUCAUAGCAUUUGCUUUUUGACCCAAUGAUUUACCAAUCAAAACGUUUUGUCCUUAAAAAGGGCAAUUGACGUAAGACGCCUAAUAAUGACAAAAUGCAUGUUCAAAAUUGACCAAACCCACAUGCAAUUAACAUAUAAUAAUUAAUAGCCAAGUCUUCACAAAAAUAUCAUCCCUAUUUAUCUUUAGUGUAGAAUUGACCAGGUCAAAGGGUGUCAUUCUCAAGGCCUGUGACACUACUAGCAAAACAAAGUUGAAUAAAUACUAUUUCUAAUGAAGAAAACUUGAAAGACUUGUAUCCCGGGAAUUAGAUGAUCAUCGACAUCGACAUCGACAUCGACAUCUCUAUAGGCUCAGCAUCGACACAAGGGGUCGAAUAUUGUAAAACAAAAAUUAUCCGUUACAUUCACAUUAACAUUUUAUCAAUAUUUUCAUACCCAAGAAAAGAGAACAAACAAAAAAAACGAAAGAAAAAGAAAAAGAUGCUGCCAUUUUUCAACCGAAGACUUGGAAAGUAGAAGAAUGAGGA